rnacentral:rRNA from 1 species
AUUGAACGCUGGCGGAAUGCUUUACACAUGCAAGUCGAACGGCAGCACGGGGGCAACCCUGGUGGCGAGUGGCGAACGGGUGAGUAAUACAUCGGAACGUGCCCGGUCGUGGGGGAUAACGUAGCGAAAGUUACGCUAAUACCGCAUACGAUCUGAGGAUGAAAGCGGGGGACCUUCGGGCCUCGCGCGAUCGGAGCGGCCGAUGUCAGAUUAGGUAGUUGGUGGGGUAAAGGCCUACCAAGCCGACGAUCUGUAGCUGGUCUGAGAGGACGACCAGCCACACUGGGACUGAGACACGGCCCAGACUCCUACGGGAGGCAGCAGUGGGGAAUUUUGGACAAAGGGCGCAAGCCUGAUCCAGCCAUUCCGCGUGCAGGACGAAGGCCUUCGGGUUGUAAACUGCUUUUGUAUGGAACGAAAAGGCUCUGGCUAAUACCUGGGGCUCAUAACGGUACCGUAAGAAUAAGCACCGGCUAACUACGUG